GGAUUAGUGGCGAACGGGUGAGUAACACGUGAGUAACCUGCCCUUCACUUUGGGAUAACUCCGAGAAAUCGGGGCUAAUACUGGAUAUGACCUUGGCCCGCAUGGGUUUGGUGGAAAGUUUUCGGUGGGGGAUGGGCUCGCGGCCUAUCAGUUUGUUGGUGAGGUAGUGGCUCACCAAGGCGAUGACGGGUAGCCGGCCUGAGAGGGCGACCGGCCACACUGGGACUGAGACACGGCCCAG
rnacentral:rRNA from 1 species